CGGGAUGUGGCGCAGCUUGGUAGCGCAUCUGCUUUGGGAGCAGAGGGUCGCAGGUUCAAAUCCUGUCAUCCCGACC
rnacentral:tRNA from 1 species